rnacentral:rRNA from 1 species
AUUGAACGCUAGCGGGAUGCUCUACACAUGCAAGUCGAACGGCAGCGCGGACUUCGGUCUGGCGGCGAGUGGCGAACGGGUGAGUAAUGUAUCGGAACGUGCCCAGUAGCGGGGGAUAACUACGCGAAAGCGUAGCUAAUACCGCAUACGCCCUACGGGGGAAAGCAGGGGAUCGUAAGACCUUGCACUAUUGGAGCGGCCGAUAUCGGAUUAGCUAGUUGGUGAGGUAACGGCUCACCAAGGCGACGAUCCGUAGCUGGUUUGAGAGGACGACCAGCCACACUGGGACUGAGACACGGCCCAGACUCCUACGGGAGGCAGCAGUGGGGAAUUUUGGACAAUGGGGGCAACCCUGAUCCAGCCAUCCCGCGUGUGCGAUGAAGGCCUUCGGGUUGUAAAGCACUUUUGGCAGGAAAGAAACGUCGCGGGCUAAUACCCCGUGGAACUGACGGUACCUGCAGAAUAAGCACCGGCUAACUACGUG